UGAUUCACAUGCAGGAUGAGGGAGGGUGGAUGGUGGAGAGGGUCAUUUCUUUCAACCACAGUGCAUAACACUUAGUGAUUGGAUGUGUUUCUCAGAAAAGAACAUGUAGUGAGAUAGGGCAGAGGCAUCCAUGGCUGGUGUCUGGAACUCUGUGGCUUUAAACCAAACUCCUCCAUCAUCCUUUUAUCUCUGGCUUUUUUGAAAGAGUUUACAUGUAUAAGAAAGUCACAGCACCAAAAACCUGUCGUGAUGUUGCAAUAUUUCAGAAGCUUUAAUGAAGCACUGUGUGGUGGAAGGGGUUCCUCAGCGGAUCCAGCUUGAGACAUAGCUCAUGCUAUAGGCUGAGUUGUGUCAUUAACAGUCCACCUCACAUUUGUCCCCCCAUGGUGGAGCAUCCUAUCAACAGACCAUAUUGCACAAAUUGUGCUUUACAAAAACCAAUGAGUCUGUUGCCACUGCAGCAAGGAAAAUAAUAGAUGCUGUUUCCUGUCUUAUUUAAGAAAAUAAGGAAAAUGUCUGUCUCUUCUUACCAUUGCUGUUCUUUUCUUUCUUUAACACAAAGACCUAUAACUAGCCUAGAUUUCCAUCCCAUUCUAUUGCUUGAUUAACCAUGAACCCCAUCAUAUCAGGAUCUAUUUAAGAUUGGAGAACAUAAUUUUCUGCUCAUGCCAUACCCUCUGUUUCUUGGCAAAGAAUAGUCGAGGGUAGGUGACCGCACUUUAUGCCAGCAUCCUCAUCAUUGACUGUGUAAUUGUCUUCUCCUGGGGUGCUGCUUCUGCCCGCUGGACCUCUACUUUCAUUCCUUGUGGUUGUGCAGCCACUAACCUCACAUCAUGAGUCAGGCAACACAGGUUAGGAUCAGAAAAGAGAUAGUCUGGGGUUUGUGUGCUGCCAGCCAGGCUUAGGCUUCACCCUUGGAACGAUAACCACCAUCUGCUCUAAUCAUGUAGACUUACUGCAGCUUGGUUUCUCUGUUACAAUAAAAUUACUGUAGAUCCAACCACUGUCUACCUUUUUCUUUAAUGGGAGGAAGGGGUAGAUGUCAGUUUGUAUUCUAGAAGUUUAGUCACAUCCAGCUGAACGGUAAGCCAGAGAUGUGUUAGUGGUCCCAAAUGAUGGCUCAGAGUACAUCCUUUUCUUCAUCAUGCCAUUGAGGUAAGUCAGCCCAAAGAUGUCGAGAAUGUGGGUAUAAUUCCUUGGACCUUGUAAGACAGGUGGAGACACACAGUGGAUCCUAUAGAGACAGGCAAGGGAUGGAGGGGAGACGGCAGCUUCAGAUGUCUUGGGGGCCAAGGAGAUUAUUAUAAAUAAAAAUCAGAAGCUGGGUGGAAGAUGAUGGUUGGUAAUCAGCCCUCAUCCACAGAGGGAGAUGACAGCCAUGAAAAUGAAAGCACUCAGUAGUAGGUCCUAAAUUUUAAAGGAAAAAAUGGAAAAAGAAUUUUUUUUGGAAGGUCUAUUGGUGCUUGAAAAUUGGCAAUGAAAAAAAAA